rnacentral:rRNA from 1 species
UACGGGGGGGGCAAGCGUUGUUCGGAAUUACUGGGCGUAAAGGGCUCGUAGGCGGCCAACUAAGUCAGACGUGAAAUCCCUCGGCUUAACCGGGGAACUGCGUCUGAUACUGGUUGGCUUGAGUGUGGGAGAGGGAUGCGGAAUUCCGGGUGUAGCGGUGAAAUGCGUAGAGAUCCGGAGGAACACCAGUGGCGAAGGCGGCUUUCUGGGUCCGCCCUGACGCUGAGGCGCGAAAGCGUGGGGAGCGAACGGG